rnacentral:rRNA from 1 species
CGUGUAGGCGGCCCGUUAAGUCUGAUGUGAAAGCCCGGGGCUUACCCCCGGAAGUGCAUUGGAAACUGGCAGGCUCGAGUCCCGGAGAGGAGGGUGGAAUUCCUGGUGUAGCGGUGAAAUGCGUAGAUAUCAGGAGGAACACCGGUGGCGAAGGCGGCCCUCUGGACGGUGACUGACGCUGAGACGCGAAAGCGUGGGAAGCAAACA